AACGGCGGGAGCAAGUGUUAUUCCACGGGAAUCGGUGUUAGGAUACGUAGACGGUUUUUUUAAAUUAAGCAUAUAUACGGCUCUUUACUAGUCCAGCAAUAUGGUUUAAUAUUUUUAAACUUGGAUUAAUUAGAUGAUAUCAGAAUGACCCACGUAUGGGUGAAAUCGACAGGAUAUGGAUGUUAGACUGGCAGAGAGGCGUAAGCGGUUUUUCAAUAAUUAAUUGACGUUAAGGUAUGUGGGCAUAGGGCGCGAAACGG
rnacentral:rRNA from 1 species